rnacentral:rRNA from 1 species
GACGAACGCUGGCGGCGUGCUUAACACAUGCAAGUCGAACGGAAAGGCCCUGCUUUUGUGGGGUGCUCGAGUGGCGAACGGGUGAGUAACACGUGAGUAACCUGCCCUUGACUUUGGGAUAACUUCAGGAAACUGGGGCUAAUACCGGAUAGGAGCUCCUGCUGCAUGGAGGGGGUUGGAAAGUUUCGGCGGUUGGGGAUGGACGCGCGGCUUAUCAGCUUGUUGGUGGGGUAGUGGCUUACCAAGGCUUUGACGGGUAGCCGGCCUGAGAGGGUGACCGGCCACAUUGGGACUGAGAUACGGCCCAGACUCCUACGGGAGGCAGCAGUGGGGAAUAUUGCACAAUGGGCGGAAGCCUGAUGCAGCAACGCCGCGUGCGGGAUGACGGCCUUCGGGUUGUAAACCGCUUUCGCCUGUGACGAAGCGUGAGUGACGGUAAUGGGUAAAGAAGCACCAGCUAACUACGUG